rnacentral:rRNA from 1 species
GAUGAACGCUGGCGGCGUGCUUAACACAUGCAAGUCGAACGGAAAGGCCCAAGCUUGCUUGGGUACUCGAGUGGCGAACGGGUGAGUAACACGUGGGUGAUCUGCCCUGCACUUCGGGAUAAGCCUGGGAAACUGGGUCUAAUACUGGAUAGGACCACUUCUUGGAUGUUGUGGUGGAAAGUUUUUUCGGUGUGGGAUGAGCUCGCGGCCUAUCAGCUUGUUGGUGGGGUAAUGGCCUACCAAGGCGUCGACGGGUAGCCGGCCUGAGAGGGUGUACGGCCACAUUGGGACUGAGAUACGGCCCAGACUCCUACGGGAGGCAGCAGUGGGGAAUAUUGCACAAUGGGCGCAAGCCUGAUGCAGCGACGCCGCGUGGGGGAUGACGGCCUUCGGGUUGUAAACUCCCUUCGCUAGGGACGAAGCGUUUUGUGACGGUACCUGGAGAAGAAGCACCGGCUAACUACGU